GCAGCAUUGUUUCCCUCUUAACCACCGAAGUGACUUAACCAGUUUGACCAGGAUCUAGUAUCCUCCUGAGUAAAGACUUAACUGCUCCAUUGAGAGCAGUCCCUUUCCACAGCCAGUCAGAUGAGUAAACGCUUUUACACUUUUUCCUAGGCGAAGCAGUAGCAGUUCAUGGAGCUGCCCUUCACAAACCUUGAAGUAGCUUUCAUCUUGCUGGCUUUUGUCAUUUUCACCUUGUUUACCCUGGCUUCUAUCUACAGUGACUCCCAUGACAACAAAGAAGAAAAGCUACACACAGGAAGAAAACAAGAGAAGGAGAAAAUCCAACAAGAAAAAGAAGCAUUCGAAUAUGAGUGA
rnacentral:lncRNA from 1 species